AAUUGCUUAAUAUUUUAUUUUAGUUUUCACUUCCGCGGAAGAUUAUUUAGUUUCAGCAAGUUAAAACUGCUUUCAGUUUAUUUUUACUGCAGGCUAUUUAAUUUGAAGCACAUCAGCCUUUACCAUUUUCUUUACAUCUUCUGGUUAUGCAAAGGACUUUAUUUUUACAUUUUUAGAAUGCAUCCAAGGUGGGGAGUUGUUUUCUGAAAUGGUCAAAUUGAAUGAUGAGACAUCAGAUGGUUGAUUACCAUAACAACUAAUCUCAAUGAAAUGUAUGAACAUGUUGUGACUUGUGAGUGGCUCCAAAAAAAAAAAGGAAUAGCGAGGAAUUAAGGGGCUGUUUUCUUGUGAAUUUGAUCUAUGUGUUCUGUUUUUAUUUAGUGUCUUACUUUCAGCUAACAUAUUCUGUCAAUAAGUCAUUUUACUUUAUAUGAGCAUCUAAUUAUUCAAAGUUCUUUUAUGUUUGUUUUUGUUGGAAGGGGUACUUAUCAGGGCUCCAAGCUGGUCGCUUGAAUCUAUAGGAUUUUUCCGUUCUGCUUUUCUACAGGGUCUACUUUCAGAUCAGCCCAAGCAUUUAUGUUGUUUAAAACAAGUUUGGGAUAAUGUCAUUGAUCUCCUUCCAUGCCUUGGCAAGGUCGACGGAUGGGCAAGUCCUUUUAUAUUCAUAGACUUCGUCAAUUUCUCCUUGCAGCUUUUCUAUGAGUUUUGAUAUUUCAUGUAUAUUGGUUGAGAAUUGCUCAGGAAUUCGCUGAUACUGACUUCAGGUUAAAAGUGAUGCUCAGAAUUUGAGGCUUUUGGAGCUUUACUCUUUGUCAGCACAAAACUACUUGAGGAAAUGUCUCUCAGUGAAGUUUAUUCUUGGAAUCAAUGUGUGUGCGUGUGUGACCAUUUUGCAGCUCCACAAUGACAAAAGCGAGUAGAAAGAGACGUACAACAUCUCGCUGAGGCCAAUUAUCUACCUAUAUACUAUAUCGGAGAAUACAGAUGGGUCAUGGGAGCUGCUCAACUGUUAGCAUACAUAAAGCUGAUGCAUACAAGGAGAUAUGCAUGAAGAUGGAUUCACUGCAGAUACAGGGGCUUCAGACCAAUCAAUGGAACUUGUUGAGGAUAGUUUCAUCAUCUUUAUCAAUAUUGCAAUUUUGCCGGUAAUUUCCCCUUUCCAAAUAUGGAGACUAUUUAGUUUCUCAAUAUGUAAAUUGCAUAGAUGUAAUAGUUCAAUCAUAGAUGAUUAAAGUAUGUGAUACUUCAGUAUUUAACAGAAUGUAUCACCUGCCAAAAAUACAGUAUUCGUAGAUACAUUGUCUUGAAAUGUAUGUUAAUA